rnacentral:rRNA from 1 species
AUUGAACGCUGGCGGCAGGCUUAACACAUGCACGUCGAGCGAGCGGCGGACGGGUGAGUAAUGUCUGGGAAACUGCCUGAUGGAGGGGGAUAACUACUGGACACGGUAACUAAUACCGCAUACCAUCAAAUGUGCCAAGAUGUGAUUAGCCAGUAGGUGGGGGAAUGGCUCACCUAGGCGACGAUCCCUAGCUGGUCUUAGAGGGUGACCAGCCACACUGGAACGGAGACCAGGUCCAGACGCCUACGGGAGGCAGCAGUGGGGAAUAUUGCACAAUGGGCGCAAGCCUGAUGCAGCCAUGCCGCGUGUGUGAAGAAGGCCUUCGGGUUGUAAAGCACUUGCAGCGAGGAGGCGUUACUCGCAGAAGAAGCACCGGCUAACUCCGGGCCAGCCGCCGCGGUAAUAC